UAUACACACACCAAACGACCACUAACGCUUCAUUUCACCAAAAAAAUAGGGUUUGUGUUGACAAACCCUAGCCACCAUGAGGCAAAUUCUCUCUCCUCGUCAUCUUCAACGCCAAAAAUGGAAAAAACAGUGUACGUUUGCUUUAUUUCAGUCAUUGCUCAACCAUUUUGGGUAAAGCAAUUAAUGAUUUACCCUCUGUGCAUCGAUACACCACCAAACAAGUUUGGGAAGCACAAAGAACACCAAAUUCAAUCUUGGUCGGCUGCACUAAAGAAAGAUCUUUCCUUCUUUCAAAGUAGUUGAGAUGAAAGGGAAGCUAAUAUAUAUAUGCAUGGAUGAUAGAAGGCCCAACCAUGGGUGAAAAUGGUUAAUUACGGGCUUGGUACUCCCCUAGCCUAAUUUUCCUCUUUAAAUACUAUGUUUUAUUUUAUGUAAUGAUGUAUUUGCUGAAGUUGUAAUUAUUUGUAAAAACACAUUGUAUCUAUUGAAACCUUUAUGGUAUGAA